CGAAUCCUGGUAUUAAAUAAUUAGCUUUCAUGAUAUUAAACAUUCAACAUAAGUCAAUUAGAAUUUACAAUUUGUUUAUUAUAAAUACGUAUUUGAUACCUUCUAUGUCAUAAAUAUGCGUCAAUAUCCUGUUUUGUAACACACAACUAAGCUAAUAAACUUUAUAAGAUGUUUUCUAAUCAAGCUAAAUGUGUUUAAAACUUUACUGUCCAUUCAUAAUAUAAUUUUGCUUAAAGGCGGGAAAGUUAUUUUUUUAUAAAGAUGGGAAGGUGGGGAUGGAAUAGCUUUUCGCCCACAGCAGAUAGUACAAAUACGACAAUGGACGAGAAAACUGCCAAAUUUUGCCACUAGUAGCUCUGGUUUAGCUUGACGGUUGACCCAUAACAAAUGCAAACAAACGUCAAAUCCCCUACUUUAUUAUUAUAACACAAGAUACAACAUUAUUUUUGUCCAAAAAUACCUCGCUGCGCAGCAAUCGCUAGUAAUAACAAUGGCAAUCACAGUUUUUCUAAGGAUUUACGUAUAAGGUGACUCUGGGAAUAAGCUCUUCGAGGUUAUGUUCGGAAGAGGAACAUUUUAUUGAAUCCGAUUAUAAAGGUUUAAGGCUUAAGCUCCUUUACAGGUUUACCUCAAGUUCAUAGAUAUUUGAAAAAGACUGCAAUCCCAACUGUUUACGCAUGGAGGAAACCUACUACCACAGCCAGUAUCGUAAUAAUGUAAUUAUAGGGUCAGCCAAGUCAAUAACAUCAUUGGAAUGGAUCAAUUUCGUUUGAUGUUAGUUAAAUUAAGAAGAAAUAAACCUGGUUUUGGGAGUAUAUUUGUUACAUGGGUAAAUUUUGUUCAUGAAUUAUG